rnacentral:lncRNA from 1 species
AGGGUGUCUACUACCUCGAAGAUGUAAGAUCAGGGAAUGAGCAAUGUGGUCGACUGCCAGUGACUAAGUCAGCGGGGCAGACUAUCCAGCCAAGCAGUUACCAAGUUGUCUGAAGGUUAAUGCCAACAACGAGAUCAAUACAUUAGCAAAGGCAACCACACUUCCUGCCAGAGGAAAGCAAGUGUUUCUAGAAAGUGGCCCAGAUCUGGACUCAGAAGAUGCACUGUGAGGACAUCCAAACCGCUCGGUCUCAGUCCUGGAUGAGAGGAGGUGCCAGCUGAGACCAGGGUCUGCUCAGGCGCAUUUGCUCACCACCUAUGGGAUGCCAAGUGCCUCCAUGGACUCUCAGAGAAGACUGGGUGUGUUCAGGACGCUAUGGCCAUGAUACAUAUUCUAAGUGUACAUUGAGGGCAACGAGGAGAAUCUGCUGAAGGCCUUGCAGGCCUCACCUGGGUGUCCUGCCCGAUAGAAUAGACUGAGGACAAUGAGACACAGGCUAGAGGCUUGUUCUUGGACAGACCCUCUGCCCUGAGCUCCACAUAAACACUUAGUGGGCUCUCAUUCCAGUCAGCAUGAGGCCUGCCUCAUCCUGAACUCAGCAAUCUCACUGUGGGGCCUUUUACCUUAUGAUCUCCCAUUGCCAUCCAAAGAGCUUGUGCUUGAUCUCCAGCCACCGGUUAAUACUCACAGGUCUUACUCAUGUUUCCGCAUCCUCUGCAUCCUUCAUUCUGUACCACACUGCCUCAGAGGAGUGAUCCAUCACCUCUCUGAUUUCCAGGAGAGCAAUGAGAGGACACAAAGGGAA